rnacentral:rRNA from 1 species
UACGUAGGGUGCAGGCGUUAAUCGGAAUUACUGGGUGUAAAGCGUGCGCAGGCGGUCUUUUAAGUCAGAUGUGAAAUCCCCGGGCUUAACCUGGGAACUGCGUUUGAAACUGGAAGGCUAGAGUGUGGCAGAGGGGGGUGGAAUUCCACGUGUAGCAGUGAAAUGCGUAGAUAUGUGGAGGAACACCGAUGGCGAAGGCAGCCCCCUGGGCUAACACUGACGCUCAUGCACGAAAGCGUGGGGAGCAAACAGG